AGUAACACGUGAGUAACCUGCCCUUGACUCUAGGAUAAGCCCGGGAAACUGGGUCUAAUACUGGAUAGGAACGUCUACCGCAUGGUGGAUGUUGGAAAGAAUUUCGGUCAUGGAUGGACUCGCGGCCUAUCAGCUUGUUGGUGAGGUAAUGGCUCACCAAGGCGACGACGGGUAGCCGGCCUGAGAGGGUGACCGGCCACACUGGGACUGAGACACGGCCCAGACUCCUACGGGAGGCAGCAGUGGGGAAUAUUGCACAAUGGGCGAAAGCCUGAUGCAGCGACGCCGCGUGAGGGAUGACGGCCUUCGGGUUGUAAACCUCUUUCAGUAGGGAAGAAGCGAAAGUGACGGUACCUGCAGAAGAAGCACCGGCUAACUACGUGCCAGCAGCCGCGGUAAUACGUAGGGUGCGAGCGUUAUCCGGAAUUAUUGGGCGUAAAGAGCUCGUAGGCGGUUUGUCGCGUCUGUCGUGAAAGUCCGGGGCUUAACCCCGGAUCUGCGGUGGGUACGGGCAGACUAGAGUGCAGUAGGGGAGACUGGAAUUCCUGGUGUAGCGGUGG
rnacentral:rRNA from 1 species